AAGUAGGUCAUAGUGAUCCGGUAGUCCCGUAUGGAAGGGCUAUCGCUCAUCAGAUAAAAGGUACUCCGGGGAUAACAGGCUUAUCGCAUCCGAGCGUCCAUAGCGGCGAUGCGGUUUGGCACCUCGAUGUCGGCUCAUCACAUCCUGGGGGUGAAGAAGCUCCCAAGGGUUCGGCUGUUCGCCGAUUAAAGUGGUACGUGAGCUGGGUUCAGACCGUCGUGAGACAGGUCGGUCCCUAUCUGCUGUGGGCGUACGAAUUUUGAGGAGGUUCUUCUUUAGUACGAGAGGAUUUGGAAGGACGACCCUCUGGUGUCCCAGUUGUCAUGCCAGUGGCACGGCUGGAUAGCUAUGGUCGGAAAGGAUAAACGCUGAAAGCAUCUAAGCGUGAAGCCCGCUCCAAGAUUAGAAUUCGUAAGCACUUUAGUGCGAGAGUCCCCUGGAAGACGACCAGGUUGAUAGGCUGGAUGUGUAAGCACAGUAAUGUGUUCAGCUAACCAGUACUAACGGACGAAAG
rnacentral:rRNA from 1 species